rnacentral:rRNA from 1 species
GACGAACGCUGGCGGCGUGCUUAACACAUGCAAGUCGAGCGACGCUCUUCCUUCGGGGAGAUGACGGAGCGGCGAACGGGUGAGUAACACGUGGGCAACCUGCCCCUAGCUCUGGGACAACACCGGGAAACCGGUGCUAAUACCGGAUACGACAUCGAGCGGCAUCUCUCGAUGUGGAAAGUUUUUUCGGCUAGGGAUGGGCCCGCGGCCUAUCAGCUUGUUGGUGGGGUAAUGGCCCACCAAGGCGACGACGGGUAGCCGGCCUGAGAGGGCGACCGGCCACACUGGGACUGAGACACGGCCCAGACUCCUACGGGAGGCAGCAGUGGGGAAUAUUGCGCAAUGGGCGAAAGCCUGACGCAGCGACGCCGCGUGAGGGAUGACGGCCUUCGGGUUGCAAACCUCUUUCAGCAGGGACGAAUUCAGACGGUACCUGCAGAAGAAGCACCGGCCAACUACGUG